CCUACGGGAGGCUGCAGUGAGGAAUAUUUGUCAAUGGGCGUAAGCCUGAACCAGCCAAGUCGCGUGAGGGAUGAAGGUUCUAUGGAUCGUAAACCUCUUUUAUAUGGGAAUAAAGUGUGGGACGUGUCCUGUUUUGUAUGUACCUUAUGAAUAAGGAUCGGCUAACUCCGUGCCAGCAGCCGCGGUAAUACGGAGGAUCCGAGCGUUAUCCGGAUUUAUUGGUAUUAAAGGGUGCGUAGGCGGCCUUUUAAGUCAGCGGUGAAAGUCUGUGGCUCAACCAUAGAAUUGCCGGUGAAACUGGGAGGCUGGAGUAAGUUAGAGGCAGGCGGAAUGCGUGGUGUAGCGGUGAAAUGCUUAGAUAUCACGCAGAACCCCGAUUGCGAAGGCAGCCUGCCAAGCCAUGACUGACGCUGAUGCACGAAAGCGUGGGGAUCAAACAGGAUUAGAUACCCUUGUAGUC
rnacentral:rRNA from 1 species